rnacentral:lncRNA from 1 species
UAGAAGCAAUUUACAUGCAAGAAGUGGCACCGGGUGGACAACCACUAUUUGCACGAGUGGUCUCUCGCUCGGCUAUCGUGGUUGAUGUGGUUGUAGCAGGUGGCAAAGCAAAGUACAGCAUCAAUGGGAGGCAAGUAUGGGCUAAAAAAUAUAAGAAGAAACAUACAUAGCCUCGAUCAAUCGUGGCUCCAAUGCUGGGACUUGGAUGUUUUUUGUUUUGAUGUCAUUUAAGUGGCACAUCAAGUUGAAUGAAGC